AGAAUCAACGCUGGCGGCGUGCCUCAGACAUGCAAGUCGAACGCGAAAGUCCCCUUCGGGGGACAAGUAGAGUGGCGCACGGGUGAGUAACACGUAGGUAAUCUACCUUCGGAUGGGGAAUAACAACCGGAAACGGUUGCUAAUACCGCAUAAUGCAGCGGCACCUAAUGGUGACAGUUGUUAAAGCGGGGGAUCGAAAGACCUCGCGUCUGAAGAGGAGCCUGCGGCGGAUUAGCUAGUUGGUAAGGUAAUGGCUUACCAAGGCUACGAUCCGUA
rnacentral:rRNA from 1 species